AGAGUUUGAUCCUGGCUCAGGACGAACGCUGGCGGCGUGCCUAAUACAUGCAAGUCGAGCGAACAGAGAAGGAGCUUGCUCCUUCGACGUUAGCGGCGGACGGGUGAGUAACACGUGGGCAACCUACCUUAUAGUUUGGGAUAACUCCGGGAAACCGGGGCUAAUACCGAAUAAUCUGUUUCACCUCAUGGUGAAACACUGAAAGACGGUUUCGGCUGUCGCUAUAGGAUGGGCCCGCGGCGCAUUAGCUAGUUGGUGAGGUAACGGCUCACCAAGGCGACGAUGCGUAGCCGACCUGAGAGGGUGAUCGGCCACACUGGGACUGAGACACGGCCCAGACUCCUACGGGAGGCAGCAGUAGGGAAUCUUCCACAAUGGGCGAAAGCCUGAUGGAGCAACGCCGCGUGAGUGAAGAAGGAUUUCGGUUCGUAAAACUCUGUUGUAAGGGAAGAACAAGUACAGUAGUAACUGGCCGUACCUUGAUGGUACCUUAUUAGAAAGCUACGGCUAACUACGUGCCAGCAGCCGCGGUAAUACGUAGGUGGCAAGCGUUGUCCGGAAUUAUUGGGCGUAAAGCGCGCGCAGGUGGUUUCUUAAGUCUGAUGUGAAAGCCCACGGCUCAACCGUGGAGGGUCAUUGGAAACUGGGAGACUUGAGUGCAGAAGAGGAUAGUGGAAUUCCAAGUGUAGCGGUGAAAUGCGUAGAGAUUUGGAGGAACACCAGUGGCGAAGGCGACUAUCUGGUCUGUAACUGACACUGAGGCGCGAAAGCGUGGGGAGCAAACAGGAUUAGAUACCCUGGUAGUCC
rnacentral:rRNA from 1 species